GACGAACGCUGGCGGCGUGCCUAAUACAUGCAAGUCGAACGCACUCUCGUUUAGAUUGAAGGAGCUUGCUCCUGAUUGAUAAACAUUUGAGUGAGUGGCGGACGGGUGAGUAACACGUGGGUAACCUGCCCUAAAGUGGGGGAUAACAUUUGGAAACAGAUGCUAAUACCGCAUAAAACCUAACACCGCAUGGUGUAGGGUUGAAAGAUGGUUUCGGCUAUCACUUUAGGAUGGACCCGCGGUGCAUUAGUUAGUUGGUGAGGUAAAGGCUCACCAAGACCGUGAUGCAUAGCCGACCUGAGAGGGUAAUCGGCCACACUGGGACUGAGACACGGCCCAGACUCCUACGGGAGGCAGCAGUAGGGAAUCUUCCCACAAUGGACGAAAGUCUGAUGGAGCAACGCCGCGUGAGUGAAGAAGGUUUCGGAUCGUAAAACUCUGUUGUUGGAGAAGAAUGUAUCUGAUAGUAACUGAUCAGGUAGUGACGGUAUCCAACCAGAAAGCC
rnacentral:rRNA from 1 species